ensembl:lncRNA
UCCAACCAUAAGGUUGUAGACAAUCCCUCAGCUUUCUUUUCAUAACUAGAGACCCAAGAAAUCAUAAAGAGGAGCAUGAUAUCACAGAUGAGCUUUAUUUUUGUGAACUAACACUGCAGGUUUCCCACUUUGGACAGCUGUAGUCAGUCACGUGCUACCCAGAACAAAACCCCACAAAAGAAGUUAACUCUAGCCUGGGGGGGGGGGGAAUCCUUUUAUCCUUCAUGAGUCUGAGGCCUUUAAAUUUGUCACCUGAAUGUGAUAUUAACAUAAUCGUCUGCAUUUUCUGCUAAUGAAUGCACCUGUUUCUAAGACUUUAUUUUAGCAGUUUUAAUGAGCUCUUCAAAGGAGUUUGCCUGGACUUACCGCUAAAAGAGAAAAAGCAGCUGGAAGCAACUAACUGCAUUCGGAAUUCGAGUCAGGGCUCUGUGAAGUUGUUAAACUUGAGAAGGAGUAUCUACGCAUCUGUCUGCAAGGUGACAGAGGAUGCUGAGCCAGAGCCACAGUGAGUGGGAAAUGCUCUAGUGAAGGUGGGCCUGGCUAUGGAAGCCUCUUCGUUGCUCGGCCAGAAGAGCUGCAAGCAAAGAAUGGAAAUUUCCAAACGCAGCAUCGAGAGCUGCUGUUCUGCUGACUGUCUGGCUCAGCCGGGGUCAUCUGCUUCUCUAAAGACAUCAAGGAAUGCCAAGGUAGGGCUAAGAGAACACGAUGGGCUUCCUCUGCAGGCAGGAAGGAAGAUCUUUGCGUGCUGCCUAGGAGCUGGGAGGAGAGGAGAGGAGAGGCAGCAGAGGUGACACCCCCUGCUCCCUCCCCCUGAACAGGAAGUCAUCCCACUUGACUUCUUUCCAGGGGCAGCUGGCUGGCAGGAUUUGUGUUUUUAAAAGACAUUCCUAAGGUGGGUGGGAGAUACAGAAACAUGAAAGAAAGAAAUCUUUGUUGGGGUCUAAUUUUGAAAGGACUUUACCUGGUAGCUAUAUCAUUCAAUCAUGUGACCUAUCCAAGAAAACCAAUCAAUCAAAAUCUCUCUCUCUCUCUCUCUCUCUCUCUCUCUCUCUCUCUCUCUCUCUGUGUGUGUGUGUGUGUGUGUGUGUCUCAUGUAGCCAAGGCUGGUCUUGACCUCCUGACCCCCCUUCCUUCACCUUCCAAAUGCUGGGAUUAAAGGCAUGUGCCAUUAUGCCCAGCAUUAAUUCUGAAUUUAGAAUAUUCAAGCUGUACCUCCUGAGACAGCUCUAUCUCCUCAUCCCCCAUAAACCAAACCUUCCACAAAUAUCCCAGCAGGUUCUGUCCCCACCUCGGCAAUAAUUUCAACAGGCCUGUUCCUUUCCACUGCAGCUACGUAAAAAUACAUUCCUGUUCACAGCUGGUCCUGCCGCCUGAGUCAACAGGCAUCUAAUAGUUCCCUGAGAUCUGGCAUGUUCCUUCCACCCACGGAUGCUGUUCCUACAGAAGUCUCAACAGCAGCAACUCCAUGGAAGUUGGUGUCAGGGCGUCAGCUUCCUGCAGACGCCGAAGGACCCCCGAGUGGCUUUGGAACAGAAGGAAUAUUCUCAAACCUAAGCCAUGUGGUUUUUGUCUGACUGAAAGUUUGGUUUCUGUUUGUCACCUUUCAGGAAGUUCUUAACAAACAAGUGUUAUCUAUGAGUUCUGUGCUCUGCCAUCCCCUGGCACCAGGGAAAGGACUGCAAUGAAGGGUUUUUGACAUCCUUGUUCUUUAUACUAAACACUCUUUAUUGAAACAAGUUUGAUAACAGUGACGAAUUUCUGGCAAGAAACUUAAAAAAAAAUCACACAGCG